CGUGAAGAACCUUUGUGUCUAGCUCAGGGAUUGUAAAGGCACCAGUCAGCACCCUGUCAAAACAGACCACUUUGCUCUCUGUAAAAUGGACCAAUCAGCAGGAUGUGGGUGGGGCCAGAUAAGAGAAUAAAAGCAGGCUGCCCAAGCCAGCAGUGGUAACCCCCUUGGAUCCCCUUCCACACUGUGGGAGGUUUGUUCUUUUGCUCUUUGCAAUAAAGCUUGCUGCUGCUCACUCUUUGGGUCCAGACUGUCUUUAUGAGCUAUAACACUCACCGGGAAGGUCUGCAGCUUCACUCCUGAAGCCAAGGAGACCACGAACCCACCGGGAGGAAGGAACAACUACAGACACGCCGGCUUAAGAGCUGUAGCACUCACUGCGAAGGUCCGCAGCUUCACUCUUGAGCCAGAGACCACGAACCCACCAGAAGGAAGAAACUCCAAACACAUCCGAACAUCAGAAGGAAAAAACUCCAGACACGCCGCCUUUAAGAACUGCAACACUGCGAGGGUCCGCGGCUUCAUUCUUGAAGUCAGUGAGACCAAGAACCCACCAAUUCCAGACACACUACCAAAGGCAGAGGGGAGCUCCUAGACAAAGAUAUUUUGCUUACAAAUGGAACAUAUCAAAUCAAGCUUUUGUGAACUUGAGGGAAGAAACAAAGAAUAUGAAGCCUAAAUGGAAGUGUCAGGAAAUGGUCGCCUUGCGGACAAGGAAACAGCAGCCUGGAAGGCCAGGAGAGGGCAGACUACCCACCUAACCCUCUGCAGAAUUUUGUGUGGACCCUGGAGACCAGAAACUAACUUCUCCUGCAGGGUUUAGGCUGCCGCCAAGAAGACUGCUACUGUUAUCAUACUGAACAGAUGCUG
rnacentral:lncRNA from 1 species